AACGAACGCUGGCGGCAUGCCUAACACAUGCAAGUCGAACGAGACCUUCGGGUCUAGUGGCGCACGGGUGCGUAACGCGUGGGAACCUGCCCUUAGGUUCGGAAUAACUCCCCGAAAGGGGUGCUAAUACCGGAUAAUGUCUUCGGACCAAAGAUUUAUCGCCUUUGGAUGGGCCCGCGUUGGAUUAGCUAGUUGGUAGGGUAAAAGCCUACCAAGGCGACGCUCCAUAGCUGGUCUGAGAGAAUGAUCAGCCACACUGGGACUGGGACACGGCCCAGAAUCCUGCGGGAGGCAGCAGUGGGGAAUAUUGGACAAUGGGCGAAAGCCUGAUCCAGCAAUGCCGGGUGAGUGAUGAAGGCCUUAGAGUUGUAAAGCUCUUUUACCCGGGAUGAUAAUGACAGUACCGGGAGAAUAAGCACCGGCUAACUCCGUG
rnacentral:rRNA from 1 species